rnacentral:rRNA from 1 species
GCAAGUCGAGCGGACCGAAGGGAGCUUGCUCCUUUAGGUUAGCGGCGGACGGGUGAGUAACACGUGGGCAACCUGCCCUGCAGACUGGGAUAACUUCGGGAAACCGGAGCUAAUACCGGAUAACACCGAAAACCGCAUGGUUUUCGGUUGAAAGGCGGCUUUUAGCUGUCACUGCAGGAUGGGCCCGCGGCGCAUUAGCUAGUUGGUGAGGUAACGGCUCACCAAGGCGACGAUGCGUAGCCGACCUGAGAGGGUGACCGGCCACACUGGGACUGAGACACGGCCCAGACUCCUACGGGAGGCAGCAGUAGGGAAUCUUCCGCAAUGGACGAAAGUCUGACGGAGCAACGCCGCGUGAGCGAAGAAGGUCUUCGGAUCGUAAAGCUCUGUUGUCAGGGAAGAACAAGUACCGUUCGAACAGGGCGGUACCUUGACGGUACCUGACGAGGAAGCCACGGCUAACUACGUGCCAGCAGCCGCGGUAAUACGUAGGUGGCAAGCGUUGUCCGGAAUUAUUGGGCGUAAAGCGCGCGCAGGCGGUUCCUUAAGUCUGAUGUGAAAUCUCGCGGCUCAACCGCGAGCGGCCAUUGGAAACUGGGGAACUUGAGUGCAGGAGAGGGGAGCGGAAUUCCACGUGUAGCGGUGAAAUGCGUAGAGAUGUGGAGGAACACCAGUGGCGAAGGCGGCUCUCUGGCCUGUAACUGACGCUGAGGCGCGAAAGCGUGGGGAGCGAACAGGAUUAGAUACCCUGGUAGUCCACGCCGUAAACGAUGAGUGCUAAGUGUUAGAGGGUAUCCACCCUUUAGUGCUGCAGCAAACGCAUUAAGCACUCCGCCUGGGGAGUACGGCCGCAAGGCUGAAACUCAAGGAAUUUGACGGGGACCCGCACAAGGCGGUGGAGCAUGUGGUUUAAUUUCGAAGCAACGCGAAGACCCUUACCAGGGUCUUGACAUCCCCU